UACGUAGGGGGCAAGCGUUGUCCGGAUUUAUUGGGCGUAAAGAGCGUGUAGGCGGCCUUACAGGUCAGCUGUGAAAACUCGAGGCUCAACCUCGAGACGUCGGUGGAAACCGUUUGGCUAGAGUCCGGAAGAGGAGAGUGGAAUUCCCGGUGUAGCGGUGAAAUGCGCAGAUAUCGGGAAGAACACCCGUGGCGAAGGCGGCUCUCUGGGACGGUACUGACGCUGAGACGCGAAAGCGUGGGGAGCGAACAGG
rnacentral:rRNA from 1 species